AACCUGGUUGAUCCUGCCAGUAGUCAUAUGCUUGUUUCAAGAUUAAGCCAUGCAUGUCUAAGUAUAAAUGAAUACACAGUGAAACUGCGAACGGCUCAUUCAAACAGUUAUAGGUUAUUUGAUAUUUCGGAUACUUCCAAUAUGGAUACCCGUAGUAAUUCUAGGGCUAAUACAUGCGUUACGGGGAACUUCACGGAACCCCAGUAUUAUUAGAUAUUCUUAAACCAUCAUUCCGCAAGGUCUACUGAGAUGAUUCAUGAUAACUCUUCGAAUGCCGGCUCAUACCGGCAUAUGUCAUUCAUGUUUCUGCUUCCCAUCAGCUUGAUUGUAGUGUAUUGGACAACAAUGGCAUUCACGGGCAACCGGGGGAUUAGGGUUCGAUUCCGGAGAGGGAGCCUGAUAAACGGCUACCACUUCUACGGAAGGCAGCAGGCGCGAAAAUUAUCCAAUCCUGACUCAGGGAGGUAGUGAAAUAAAUAAUGAACUGGGAUUAUUUUAUCCUGGGAUUACAAUGGGCUUGAUUUGCAAACUUGAUAUUAGCGAGGAACAAUUGGAGGGCAAGUCUGGUGCCAGCAGCCGCGGUAAUUCCAGCUCCAAUAGUGUAUAUUAACGUUCCUGCAGUUAUUCGAUGCUCGUAGUUGGAUUUCUGGGGGCUGAGACAGGAGGGCGGCUAUGGCCGCCACCAGUCUUUUCCCUCGUCCGCCUGUUAACGGCGAUCGAGAUUGAAUUCUCGACGCCGGGCUCAGGCACUUUGAUUUAAUUCUCUUGAGCAAAUUAUAGUGUUUCAGGCAGGCGUGCGCCGGAAUACAUUAGCAUGGAAUAAUCUUACGGACCGUGUGUGGGUUCGCCCACAUUUCCUUAUUUGUUGGUUUCUCUAUUUUAAGGACACGGAAUGAUUAAUAGGGAUAGUUGAGAAGUUAUAUCUCACCAGGGGAGGCAUUAGUAUUUAAUUUCCAGAGGUGAAAUUCUUUGAAAUUUCUUAAGACUAACUUAUGCGAAAGCAUUUUUCUGCCAAGAAUGUUUUUAUCUCAUCGUCAAGAACGAAAGUUAGGGGAUCAAAGACGAUCAGAUACCGUCCUAGUCUUAACCAUAAACUUUGCCGACUAGGGAUCGGAGGGCGUGCACAUUCCGCCUUCGGCACCUUACGAGAAAUCAUAAGUAUUUUGGGUUCUGGGGGUAGUAUGGUCGCAAGGCUGAAACUUAAAGGAAUUGACGGAAGGGCACCACCAGGAGUGGAGCUUGCGGCUCAAUUUGACUCAACACGGGAAAUCUUACCAGGUCCAGACAUAGGAAGGAAAUUGACAGAUUGAUAGCUCUUUCUUGAUUCUAUGGGUUGAUUCGGUGGUGCAUGGCCGUUCUUAGUUGGUGGAGUGAUUUGUCUGGUUAAAUCCCGAUUUUUUAUAAAUACAAACGAACGAGACCUCAGCCUGCUAAAUAGUUAUCUGUCUUUAUAUGUGCUUGCACAAACCGAGACUUACUAACUUCUUAGAGGGACUUUGUGCGCAAUCAGAAAGGAAGUUUGAGGCAAUAACAGGUCUGUGAUGCCCUUAGAUGUCCUGGGCCGCACGCGUGCUACACUGAUACGUACAACAAGGUAUACAUAUCUACUUGCUGCCGAAAUAGAUAAUCAACUUGGCUAAAUCUCCAAUACGUAUCGUGCUGCGGAUAGAUCGUUGAUAAAUAAUUAUGAAUCUUGAAGGAGGAAUUCCUAGUAAGCGCAAGUCAUCAGCUUGCGUUGAUUACGUCCCUGCCCUUUGUACACACCGCCCGUCGCUCCUACCAAUUUCGAGCGGCUCGGUGAACCUUUCUUCUCUCGACUGUAUGGCAACAUACGAUGUACGAAGAAUUGUAAACCUGGUCGCUUAGAGGAAGGAGAAGUCGUAACAAGGUUUCCGUAGGUGAACCUGCAGAAGGAUCA
rnacentral:rRNA from 1 species